rnacentral:rRNA from 1 species
UACGUAGGGUGCAAGCGUUGUCCGGAAUUAUUGGGCGUAAAGAGCUCGUAGGCGGUCUGUCGCGUCGGCUGUGAAAUCCCGAGGCUCAACCUCGGGUCUGCAGUCGAUACGGGCAAACUAGAGUAUUGCAGGGGAGACUGGAAUUCCUGGUGUAGCGGUGAAAUGCGCAGAUAUCAGGUGGAACACCGGUGGCGAAGGCGGUGGUCUGGGCCGGCACUGACGCUGUAGAGCGAAAGCGUGGGGAGCGAACAGG